rnacentral:lncRNA from 1 species
GGGUGCUGAAUCUGCUAAUGAUUCAUAUCUAGGGUUUCAAACCCUAACGAUAUCACUUCUCAAAACCCAACGUUAUUCCUUAACUGAACCUUCACCAUUUCUCCCCCAUCUUCUACAAUUCUCCAUUGGGCAAUCGCAGGCACAAAGAAAGUUUCAUUUUUUCGCAGAAAUUCCUUAUCUUUCAGCUUCUUACCUGUAAGUUCCUCUCACCCUCAAUGGGUAUAUAUCUAUAGGUAAAUACUGAUUUUAAUUUAGUUGAGUAUUUAGGUGAUUUUAAUUUAGGUGAAUAAGGGAAAUAAAUAUCAAAUGGGAAAAUCUGGGGGUAGAAGAAAAAAGGGUAGUGCUUCAAAAUCAAACCAAGCUUCUGUUGAUGAUUCAGUUGCUCCAAUUGCUAAUGGUAGUGUGGAUUUGGAUUCCUCAAUAUUUUUGAAGAGAGCCCAUGAGCUCAAAGAAGUGGGAAAUGUAAAGUUCCAGAAUAAGGACUUUGUUGGUGCCCUACAACAUUAUGAGAAUGCCCUAAAACUAACCCCUAAGACCCACCCUGAUAGGGCUGUUUUCCACAGCAACAGAGCUGCUUGUUUGAUGCAAAUGAAACCUACUGAUUAUGAAUCUGUGAUUGCCGAGUGCACCAUGGCGCUUCAGGUUCAGCCGCAAUUUGCUAGGGCACUCAUUCGGAGGGCUCGGGCAUUUGAGGCUGUAGGGAAGUAUGAGAUGGCUAUGCUUGAUGUGCAAGUGCUAUUGGGAGUUGAACCUAAUCACGGGGAUGCUUUAGAGAUUGCUAGGAGAUUGAGGACUGCGUUGGGAACUCGCCAGGAAGCUCAGCAGGACCUUCAUAGUCGCCCUUCCCCUGCUGCCCUUGGUGCUUCUGCGGUUCGUGGUGCUCCAAUUGCUGGUUUAGGGCCAUCUUUACCUGCCCGACCAGGGCCUAAGAAGGGGGCAAGUGCAGCUACUGGAUUGCUUGUGUCACCUAAUUACAAGCCAGAGAAGCCCCAAGUUAUUUUAUCAUCUGAAAAUGGUCAUGAGAACAAGUCACAGUCUCCAAAACUUUCGUUGAAACCCUCAAGUGGCUCCGCUAAUACCUCUAAUCCAAGGAAGGGAAACCAGAAGGAUCUGUUGUCUCAUUCAGCAAAUGUUCAGCACUCAGAGGUUGUAAUUCGGUUGAGACCUUUGAAACUUGUUUAUGAUCAUGAUAUCAGGCUUGCUGAGAUGCCAGUGAAUUGCAGUUUUAGAGUGCUGCGAGAAUUAGUGACCAAGAGAUUUCCAUCAUCAAAGUCUGUUCUGAUCAAGUAUAAGGAUAAUGACGGUGAUUUGGUGACUAUAACAUCUACGGAUGAACUCAGAUUGGCCGAAGGUAGUGUGGAUAGCCAUCUCCUGAAAGAACCCGAAGCAGAUAAAAGUGAUUCAGUUGGGAUGCUGAGACUAAAUAUCGUUGAAGUUAGUCCUGAGCAGGAGCCACCUUUAUUGGAAGAAGAGGAAGAAAAACCUGUGGAGAGCGAUGGGAUCAAGGAAGUUGAGAGUGAGUCUCAAUCACCCAAUGAAUCUUUCUCUGAGGCCCCUGACACUGAAGCUGAUAAGAUAGAGAAAGAUGCACCGAAGGAAAAGCCUGGUUCUGCCACAGAAGCUACUGAAUGCAAGGAAGUGGAGAUGGAUGAUUGGUUGUUUGAAUUUGCUCAGCUUUUCCGCUCUCAUGUUGGUAUUGAUCCAGAUGCUCAUAUUGACUUGCAUGAGCUGGGGAUGGAGUUUUGUUCUGAGGCACUCGAGGAAACAGUCACCGGUGAGGAGGCCCAGGAUCUCUUUGACAAAGCGGCUUUGAAGAGUUUUUUACAUUGUCACUAUAUUAUCUAUCAUUCAUUUUCAAUUUAACUUUUCAGAAAAAAUAAUCAAAAUGAAAAAUAAAUGAUGCACUGAUAAUAUAUAAUUCUUUAUAUUGUUAGUGUAUCAAUAUUAUACUCUUAAAAAUAUAAGUUAGAUAAGAUAACCCCUCUGAAUAAUUAUUUAAAUCUGAUCCCAUGAUGUGAGGGAAGAGAUUUCCGAAAACAAAUGAUGUGUUACAUGAAGCACAUCUUAUUGGUCGGAAUAAUUUGUAUAAACUUUUCUAACCAAUAAAAAACACAUUAUAAUAGUAUAAACUUUGGAAUAGAAAAUCUAUACUCUAUAUUACAUGGAGUGAGUAGGAAGCAGUUAUUGUUUGGCCCAAAAGCGUGAAAAAGUGGGGGAAAAUGACUGGUCUGUGAGUAAUGGAGAUUUUCGCGGAUCCAGUCGUAAAUCAAUGAACCUGUCUGUCCUCUUUUGGGGUUUUAGAUGUAUGAAAAUAAAAUACCAUGCCAAAUUUUCUUACAAAUUCUUGUGUCACUUUUUUCUUGUGUAGAUGAUGAUUUAGUAAUUGAAUAUAUCAAUACUUUCUUAGACGUGUUAUGGACAUUAAAUAUGAUCAUAGUUUUUUUGAAAAAGAAAAUAGUCACAACUACAAAUAUCUAAUUUUAUCAUAAAUUUUCCAUAUGCAUUGAGCAAAAUUGUAUGACAAAAUAAAUAUGUUAUCCAAAUUAUAUCUUAUAUCUUAUCUCUCGUGCCAAUAAUUUUUUUAGAAAAAACAACACUAAACUAAAAAAAAUAGAAUUUUUAACAUGUAACCAAACUAUUUAGUAACCUAAAACAAACUAUAAAGUGUGAAAAACUACUUUCACAUAUACUUAAUAAAAUUAUGGUGAGUUAGAAGAGUUGAACAUAUAUCACUAUAGGAUUUAUAACUUAAAUUUUCAUCAAGUAAACAAACCUUUAAUAAUUAAAAUUAACUAAACAUUUUUAUUAUGCAAUUAAUUAAUUAAAAAAGAAUUUUGAAAGUGGAAGUUAAAAUAUGAUUUCAGGAAAAAAAACAUAAUAUAAAUAUAAACAUUUUAGCAAUCCAAUAAAAUUGGAUAUACCAAAACAAAUGUACCAAAAAAGCCAAUAAAAUUGGGAGGCCUAAGCAUUGGGCCUCUAAGGCCCACCACGAUUUCGGGUGCUGAAUCUGCUAAUGAUUCAUAUCUAGGGUUUCAAACCCUAACGAUAUCACUUCUCAAAACCCAACGUUAUUCCUUAACUGAACCUUCACCAUUUCUCCCCCAUCUUCUACAAUUCUCCAUUGGGCAAUCGCAGGCACAAAGAAAGUUUCAUUUUUUCGCAGAAAUUCCUUAUCUUUCAGCUUCUUACCUGUAAGUUCCUCUCACCCUCAAUGGGUAUAUAUCUAUAGGUAAAUACUGAUUUUAAUUUAGUUGAGUAUUUAGG